UCUAGGCCAUACCACCCUGAAGGCGCCUGAUCUUGUCUCACAUUGGAAGCUAAGCAGGGCCGGGCCUGGUUAGUAUGUGGAUGGGAGACCACCUGGGACUACCUGAUUGUGUAAGGAA
ensembl:rRNA 5S_rRNA 5S ribosomal RNA